rnacentral:rRNA from 1 species
AUGUGCGUUAUUGGGUUCUGGUUUUUUCUCCCACCUGGUCUGGACCCGCGCCCGUCCCCCGAGGGGAAGGAGGAAGGCGAGUUUUCCCGGCGGGAGCUGCAGGGAUGGAUGGCAGGGCAGAGGAGCUGUCCCGUCGGGCGAGGCAUCACCGAGUGCCGGUCGGUGGGUGCGGAACCAGCCGCCGUCGUCGGUGGGGAGGAAGGUCUGCGCAACAAGCCUCCUGACAUCCGCGUCGCUUCCAGUGACUGUAGCAGCCAAGAAGGAGCUGCCUGUUUGUGGGGGUGGGUCUCAAGACGGAGCUUUUUGGGCUUGAAUGUUAGGAGUUCAUCGCCCCCCCUCCAUGUGGACUGA